CGUGAUCAAACCAAUAUACCGUGUACGCACCUAACUUUGCGCAGCUCCAAACUUUGCGCAUUUUUAAGAAGCAUGAAAAAAUGAUAAUUAAUCAAUGAUUUUUUCAACAAUUCAGUUUCAGUAACAUGUUCGUUUAUGUGAAAUAAGUAUUUGACAUACAUUUGUUUACUAAGAAAACCUCGUAAAUGUUAGUAAAUAACCCAAAAACCCUAUCGUCACACGUAUAAACGUCAACUUUUACACCGUCUUAGCACAAGCACUAAGGAGUGGCUUUGCCAAAAAUCAACAUUUUUUCGAACAAAACUGUGUUGUGAGAUGUAUAUUUGCGGUGUAUUUGCAAAAAGAGGUAAUAUUCUAGUAAUUCCCUCAAUUUUCCAUACAAUAUGUCGAAUUUUUAUUUGAAAAAAAAGCGAUGCGCAAUGUUAGGACCCAUUUUUUACAUGAGGGUCUUAAUUUUUGCGCACUUCUAGCAAUUCAAAAUGGCACGUACAUACAUGUACGUCAUUACAAAUGAUAAUAGCUGUCGAUCUUACCAGGAAUGGUCACUCAAUCCAUAAGGCAGUGGCUACAUAUAAUAUUUCUGAAAGGACCUUUUGUAUGAAGCUGAAGGCAAGGUUUGCAUCGAAAAAUCUCGGAAAACCCACUUGACGCAGGAGGAGACUUUUACUGUGAACUUGGAAAAUUGAUAGCGCAAAGGUUGGCUUACCACUUCAUGGACAAUAAUUCAAAAUUCAGUUGUCUAGCAAAAAACGUUCAAUUAUGGAAUAUCCGUACUGACGUCAAAUAAAUAAAAAAUAAUUAAUCACGAGAGAUCAACGAUACAUCGAAUCCCGAACUUAUCGAUGCUUUCCAUGGAUUCGAUGAAGCUUCAGUUGAAAGUAAAGGUCCGUCCAUUAAGGGACAGUCCCUAAGCAACCUGCAGCUUGCAAUAUUAAUAGACAAACGAGAAAUCUCUCGAGCAUAGCAUGUCUGAACUUUAAUUGAAGCACAUCACUGCUAAUGACUCGUCAAGUUCAUCUGGAAAUCCUCCACUUCCAGCUGACGACAUGUACAACAGAGAAGAUUUUCUUUAGAAAGCUUCUAAAUUGUGCGAAAUUGAAUCGUUCACGGCCAUCAGCAGUGAAUACGAGCAUCGAAUUUCGGUAGUUAUUGAAGGAGAUGAAACAAAAUAGGAAAAACGAAAAACAAAAACAACAAAAAAAUAAAAAAAGGUUAAAAAAUUAAAAAAAAAACAAGAGAAUAAAUUAUAUAAAGCAACGUACGAAAACAAAUAAGUAUAUGCUACGGCUGUAAACUAUAUUGCUCAGAUUGUAAUCUUGUGAAUAUAUAAUAAAAAAUAAGAACAGUGUAAAUCACUAUUCGUGGUCACUCUAUGUUUGUGGUUGUUGAAUAAAUUAAAUUGAAUUUAAAUUCACGGAAAAACUACUGAUGAAACUCAUAUUAGUUGUAACCUUUUUAUU